rnacentral:misc_RNA from 1 species
GAUGAAGAACGUAGCGAAAUGCGAUAAGUAAUGCGAAUUGCAGAAUUCCGUGAGUCAUCGAAUCUUUGAACGCACAUUGCGCCCUCUGGUAUUCCGGAGGGCAUGCCUGUCUGAGCGUCAUUGUCAACCCUCAAGCUCAGCUUGCUGUUGGGUCCCCGUCGUUGCUUUAACGGCGGACCCGAAAGGUAAUGGCAGAGUCCGUGAGACCCUAGACGCAGCGAGCUUCUAGCACGCGUCUGGACGUUUUUCGGGCUCGGUCUUAACUAGAUGAUAACUUCCGAUUGACCUCAGAUCAGGUAGGGAUACCCGCUGAACUUAAGCAUAUCAAUAGCGGAGA